UCAAAGGCUCUUUUCAGAGCCACUCACUUUGUCUCAAUGACCUGU
rfam:Pteropus alecto contig120777, whole genome shotgun sequence.